GGAUCUGUAUCUGGGGGCCAUGUAUUGACAAUUAGCUGGUUGACUGUUAUAAUAUGAACUAUGUAUUGAAACAAUUAUGGUUUUAAAUGGAAUCAUCUUUUACUUAUAUUUCUAACUUUUGUAAUGAUGUUAAUCAUAUUUUGGUUAUAAAUAUUCUCCUUGUUGAAAUAUUGUCUUCUCUUUGUUGUUGUUUGCUGUUAAUAAUUGCUAUAUUAAGGGGGAGCAAACAUCUGUGAUUAACUCUAAAGGG
rnacentral:lncRNA from 1 species